GCCGAGAUCGCAUAACCUGGUAUUGCACCAGCCUGGAAAGCUGGCUCCGUUAGGAGGUCUGGGUUCAAAUCCCAGUCUCGGCG
rnacentral:tRNA from 1 species